rnacentral:tRNA from 1 species
GGCGAGUAAUCUCUGGAGGUCCAGGGCGCUCUUUGCUACAGAGUUGGCGGGUGAAAGCCCGUGGGUUUCGAGUACUCUGCUCGCCG